rnacentral:rRNA from 1 species
GACGAACGCUGGCGGCGUGCUUAACACAUGCAAGUCGAACGGAAAGGCCUGUCUCUUGUGGGGUGCUCGAGUGGCGAUCGUGUGAGUAACACGUGUGUAACCUGCCCUGUGCGUGGGGAUAUCUCUAGGAAACUGGGGCUCAUACCGGAUAGGAGCUGUGGUGGCAUGGUGGGGGUUGGAAAGUUUGUGCGUUUGUUGAUGGACUCGCGGCUUAGCAGCUUGUUGGUGGGGUUUGGGCUUACCAAGGCUUUGACGGGUAGCCGGCCUGAGAGGGUGACCGGCCACAUUGGGACUGAGAUACCACCCAGACUCCACAGGGAGGCAGCAGUGGGGAAUAGUGCACAAUGGGCGGAAGCCGGAUGCAGCACAGCCGCGUGCGGGAUGACGGCCUUCGGGUUGUAACAAAAAAGCGCCUGUGACGAAGCGUGAGUGACGGUAAUGGGUAAAGAAGCACCGGCUAACUACGUG